rnacentral:rRNA from 1 species
UACGGAGGGAGCUAGCGUUGUUCGGAAUUACUGGGCGUAAAGCGCACGUAGGCGGCUAUUCAAGUCGGGGGUGAAAGCCCGGGGCUCAACCCCGGAACUGCCCUCGAAACUAGAUAGCUAGAAUCUUGGAGAGGUCAGUGGAAUUCCGAGUGUAGAGGUGAAAUUCGUAGAUAUUCGGAAGAACACCAGUGGCGAAGGCGACUGACUGGACAAGUAUUGACGCUGAGGUGCGAAAGCGUGGGGAGCAAACAGG